AGAGUUUGAUCCUCGUUCAGAUUGAACGCUGGCGGAAUGCUUUACACAUGCAAGUCGAACGGCAGCAUAGGUGCUUGCACCUGAUGGCGAGUGGCGAACGGGUGAGUAAUACAUCGGAACGUGCCCAGUCGUGGGGGAUAACGUAGCGAAAGUUACGCUAAUACCGCAUACGAUCUACGGAUGAAAGCGGGGGACCGUAAGGCCUCGCGCGAUUGGAGCGGCCGAUGUUAGAUUAGGUAGUUGGUGGGGUAAAGGCUCACCAAGCCGACGAUCUAUAGCUGGUCUGAGAGGAUGAUCAGCCACACUGGGACUGAGACACGGCCCAGACUCCUACGGGAGGCAGCAGUGGGGAAUUUUGGACAAUGGGCGCAAGCCUGAUCCAGCCAUUCCGCGUGCAGGACGAAGGCCUUCGGGUUGUAAACUGCUUUUGUACAGAACGAAAAGCUCUGAGUUAAUACCUCGGGGUCAUGACGGUACUGUAAGAAUAAGCACCGGCUAACUACGUGCCAGCAGCCGCGGUAAU
rnacentral:rRNA from 1 species